UACGUAGGGGGCAAGCGUUGUCCGGAUUUAUUGGGCGUAAAGAGCGUGUAGGCGGCUUGGAAGGUCAGCUGUGAAAACUCGAGGCUCAACCUCGAGACGUCGGUUGAAACCACCUGGCUAGAGUCCGGAAGAGGAGAGUGGAAUUCCCGGUGUAGCGGUGAAAUGCGCAGAUAUCGGGAAGAACACCCGUGGCGAAGGCGGCUCUCUGGGACGGUACUGACGCUGAGACGCAAAAGCGUGGGGAGCGAACAGG
rnacentral:rRNA from 1 species